rnacentral:rRNA from 1 species
CCCUUAGAUGUUCUGGGCCGCACGCGUGCUACACUGAGUGGAUCAGCGGGUCAGGUUGCGCGAAAGCGUUUCCUAAUCUUUAAAUCCGCUCGUGAUGGGGAUUGACGGUUGCAAUUUUCUGUCAUGAACGAGGAAUACCUUGUAAGCGCGGGUCAUCAUCCCGCGCUGAAUACGUCCCUGCCCUUUGUACACACCGCCCGUCGCUCCUACCGAUUGAGUGGUCCGGUGAGGCUUUGGGAUCUGAGCGGAAAGAGCGUUUCGCUGUUUCUGCUCGGAAAACUCAGUCGAACCUUAUCAUUGAGAGGAAGGAGAAGGCGUAACA